rnacentral:misc_RNA from 1 species
UCUCCCUUACGGAAGCAGUCUCGCGUGACACGUAUAACACACGAUAGGGGUUGCGCUCGUUAAUCCACUUAAGGAGACCUCUCACGAGACGAGCUGACGACAGCCGUGCAGCACCUGUCUAGAACCCUCGAAGGCUGUUCUAUUUCUAGGACAUGCAUCUAGAUUUCAAGCCCUGGUGAGGUUCCUCGGUUAGAGUCGAAUUAAACCGCAUGAUCCACUGCUUGUGCAAGUUCCCGCCUAUUUCUUUGAGUUUUAAUCUUGCGAUCGUACUUCCCAGGCGCCAUACUUAACGCGUUAGCUUCGCCACUGGAAGGGUCGAUGCUCCCAAUAGCUAGUAUGGAUCGUUUAGGGCGUGGACUA